rnacentral:lncRNA from 1 species
AAGCCGUAGGGGAUUGUUCUCCAGUCUUGACUUUGAGAACUUGGUAGAGCUCCUGAAGGCUCACCUGAUAAGAGAUGUAUGUCACAAUCUGCUCACCCUGGCAUUUCUCUAAAUAGAAGAUACCACCACCUUCAAAUGAAUAUGAUAAAUCAAUCUUGUCCUUAUUGAAUGGAUUUAGUAUUCAGCAUCCAGGCCUAAUAAAAAAUAUGAUCUAAUGAAGGUUCAUCUGUCUGAAUAUAGAUAUCAAGAAGUGGCAGAGUAUCAGAGGAGAAAGAUAUCAAGAAAUAGAAUAUUCAAGCUACAACCAACAGCUUGAUGACACAUGCAGAGAUGGAAUACCCUGUGUUCAAGGAUGACAGAGGUUAAGUGGGCAAAAGAAUCGUGAAUGUUUUCAAUGGAGUCAAUAAAAUUAAUGAUAGGUAAAUAAAUCCAAAUUGAAUGAAGAUGGAAGUGCACUGAAGAGUGUUCUGAUGAAUAAAGAAUAAAGAAAAUAAAGAAAGUAGAACAUAUCAAUUGAACCAAUAAGAAAUGGUGGUAGGAAAGUGAAGUGUUUAAAAUAAAGCUUUUGAAAGUGGUAUAUAUCUUGCCACUACCUAGAAUUGAGGGAUGCAGGCAAAGCAUUAACCUUUACAGAGAGUGAAAUUUUAGUUAACAUCAGGAGGAGCACAGAAGAAAAAGAUGGAUGAUACAUGAAUUUUUAAUUCCAUAUAUCAUCUGAUUCAGAGUUACUACCAAGGGCACUGCAUUGUAGUCUGGGCGCUCACUAAGGGGAUGAAAGAUGACAGAUAAAAUCAGAUUAGGGCAUGUCCAAGAUAGUAAGCAAGUUAGAGUGCAGGCAAUUAUUCAUAAACUCAGGAACUUGGUUCUAGAAAUGAUAAAUAUUUCCCAGAAUGAACAAUGGCAAAUAAUAGGAUUUGUAAUGAUUGCAUCACAGAACAAAGUGAGCCAUUAGUUCAAAAUGGUGUUAUGGGUUCUUGGAAUCAUUAGUCUGUCUUAUAGCUAGGAAUCAUAUACCACUGCUCAAUAGGAAUAUGAUAGCAGGAGUAUUUCCCCUAGAUCCUGAGGCAAUAUGGUUAAAAAUAUAAAAUCAGAAGUAAAAUAGACAUAAUUUCAAAUACUAGCUACAUAACUUAACUGCUAAGAGAAUUACGUAAUUUCAAGCCAGAGGUUUUUCAAUUAGGAAAAAAACCUUGGAGGGGUGAUGGGAAGGUUGAAGAGUAAAUGAAAUGAAGUGUAGAAAAAUACCCAACACGUGUCUGAAUGUUACCUUCCUUUCUUUCCAUUCUCCUAUGGGAGCUGUGCCUCCCCCACCCCUCUUCCCUACUUCACUACCAUAUUAAUUGUGUACAUUUGUGUGCAAACUUUGUCACCAGGUAAGUAACAAUAACUUUAAUAAUUAACAGGAGUGGCAUUCAUUGUUUUUUUGAUAACCUGGCUCAUAGUAAGCACCACUAUUUAUUUACUAAAUUAAUGAAAUGUAUACCUGUGGAAAUGUUAAAGUUUUAUAUCCAAUAAUGGCAAUUUUUGUACUGAGUUACUAAUAUCAUUUUUAUUAUUAAGAAAUGUGUUAAACAUAUUUAACAAUAAAUAAGAUAGACAACUAUUG